rnacentral:rRNA from 1 species
GACGAACGCUGGCGGCGUGCUUAACACAUGCAAGUCGAGCGGAAAGGCCCUUCGGGGUACUCGAGCGGCGAACGGGUGAGUGACACGUGAGUAACCUGCCCCAGACUUUGGGAUAACCCUCGGAAACGGGGGCUAAUACCGGAUACGACACAGCUUCGCAUGGGGUCUGUGUGGAAAGUUUUGCGGUUUGGGAUGGGCUCGCGGCCUAUCAGCUUGUUGGUGGGGUGAUGGCCUACCAAGGCGACGACGGGUAGCCGGCCUGAGAGGGCGACCGGCCACACUGGGACUGAGACACGGCCCAGACUCCUACGGGAGGCAGCAGUGGGGAAUAUUGCACAAUGGGCGGAAGCCUGAUGCAGCGACGCCGCGUGAGGGAUGACGGCCUUCGGGUUGUAAACCUCUUUCAGCAGGGACGAAGCGUAAGUGACGGUACCUGCAGAAGAAGCGCCGGCCAACUACGUG